rnacentral:rRNA from 1 species
GACGAACCGUGCGAACGUUGUUCGGAAUCACUGGGCUUAAAGGGCGCGUAGGCGGCUGGGUAAGUCUCGGGUGAAAUCUUUCGGCUCAACCGGAAACGUGCCUGGGAUACUGCUCAGCUCGAGGGAGAUAGGGGCGGACGGAACUUCCGGUGGAGCGGUGAAAUGCGUUGAUAUCGGAAGGAACGCCGGUGGCGAAAGCGGUCCGCUGGAUCUCUACUGACGCUGAGGCGCGAAAGCCAGGGGAGCAAACGGG